rnacentral:rRNA from 1 species
GACGAACGCUGGCGGCGUGCUUAACACAUGCAAGUCGAACGGAAAGGCCCUGCUUUUGUGGGGUGCUCGAGUGGCGAACGGGUGUGUAACACGCGAGUAACCUGCCCUUGACUUUGGGAUAACUUCAGGAAACUGGGGCGCAUACCGGACAGGAGCUCCCGCUGCAUGGGGGGGGUUGGAAAGUUUCGGCGGUUGGGGCUGGAGUCGCGGCUUAUCAGCUUGUUUGUGGGGUAGUGGCUUACCAAGGCUUUGACGGGUAGCCGGCCUGAGAGGGUGACCGGCCACAUUGGGACUGAGAUACGGCCCAGACUCCUACGGGAGGCAGCAGUGGGGAAUAUUGCGCAAUGGGCGGAAGCCUGAUGCAGCAACGCCGCGUGCGGGAUGACGGCCUUCGGGUUGUAAACCGCUUUCGCCUGUGACGAAGCGUGAGUGACGGUAAUGGGUAAAGAAGCACCGGCUAACUACGUG